GGGGAUAUGGCGAAAUCGGUAGACGCUACGGACUUGGAAAAUCCGUCGACUUUAUAAAUCGUGAGGGUUCAAGUCCCUCUAUCCC
rnacentral:tRNA from 9 species